rnacentral:rRNA from 1 species
CCUACGGGUGGCAGCAGUGGGGAAUAUUGGGCAAUGGGCGCAAGCCUGACCCAGCAACGCCGCGUGAAGGAAGAAGGCUUUCGGGUUGUAAACUUCUUUUAUCAGGCACGAAACCAGUGACGGUACCUGAGGAAUAAGCCCCGGCUAACUACGUGCCAGCAGCCGCGGUAAUACGUAGGUGGCAAGCGUUAUCCGGAUUUACUGGGUGUAAAGGGCGUGUAGGCGGGACUGCAAGUCUGAUGUGAAAACCACGGGCUCAACCUGUGGCCUGCAGUUGAAACUGUAGUUCUGGAGUGCUGGAGAGGCAGACGGAAUUCCUAGUGUAGCGGUGAAAUGCGUAGAUAUUAGGAGGAACACCAGUGGCGAAGGCGGUCUGCUGGACAGCAACUGACGUUGAGGCGCGAAAGCGUGGGGAGCAAACAGGAUUAGAUACCCGAGUAGUC